rnacentral:tRNA from 1 species
CCUGGUGGCUCAGACGGUAGAGCGUCUGCCUAUAGUGCAGGAGACCCAGGUUCUAUGCCUGGGUCAGGA